rnacentral:rRNA from 1 species
UGCAAGUCGAACGGCAGCGGAGUUAGUAGCAAUACUAAUUGCCGGCGAGUGGCGGACGGGUGAGUAACGCGUAGGAAUCUGCCCAGAAGAUGAGGAUAACUUGGGGAAACUCAAGCUAAUACUGAAUAAUCCCUACGGGGGAAAGGUUGCCGCGAGGCAAUUGCUUUUGGAUGAGCCUGCGUUGGAUUAGCUAGUUGGUGGGGUAAAGGCCUACCAAGGCGAUGAUCCAUAGCUGUUCUGAGAGGAAGGACAGCCACACUGGGACUGAGACACGGCCCAGACUCCUACGGGAGGCAGCAGUGGGGAAUCUUGGACAAUGGGGGCAACCCUGAUCCAGCGAUGCCGCGUAUGUGAAGAAGGCCUUCGGGUUGUAAAGCAUUUUAGUGGGGGAGGAGUAGGAUGUGUUGAAUAGACAUAUUUGAGGACGUUACCCCAAGAAUAAGCACCGGCUAACUCUGUGCCAGCAGCCGCGGUAAUACAGAGGGUGCGAGCGUUAAUCGGAAUAAUUGGGCGUAAAGGGAGCGUAGGCGGAUAAUCAAGUGGUAGGUGAAAGACCUGGGCUUAACCUGGGGAGGUCCUAUCAGACUGGUUGUCUAGAGUGAGGUAGAGGAAGGUGGAAUUUCGGGUGUAGCGGUGAAAUGCGUAGAUAUCCGAAAGAACAUCGAUGGCGAAGGCAGCCUUCUGGGCCUUUACUGACGCUGAGGCUCGAAAGCGUGGGGAGCGAACAGGAUUAGAUACCCUGUAGUCCACGCUGUAAACGAUGAAGACUGGAUGUUUGGUGACGUAGUCACUGAGUAUCGAAGCAAACGCGUUAAGUCUUCCGCCUGGGGAGUACGGUCGCAAGACUAAAACUCAAGGAAUUGACGGGGGCCCGCACAAGCGG